rnacentral:rRNA from 1 species
UGGGGAAUAUUGCACAAUGGGCGAAAGCCUGAUGCAGCGACGCCGCGUGAGUGAGGAAGUAUUUCGGUAUGUAAAGCUCUAUCAGCAGGGAAGAAAGAAAUGACGGUACCUGAGUAAGAAGCUCCGGCUAAAUACGUGCCAGCAGCCGCGGUAAUACGUAUGGAGCAAGCGUUAUCCGGAUUUACUGGGUGUAAAGGGAGCGUAGGCGGCAGAGCAAGUCUGAUGUGAAAGCCCGGGGCUCAACCCCGGUAGUGCAUUGGAAACUGUUCGGCUGGAGUGUCGGAGGGGUAAGCGGAAUUCCUGGUGUAGCGGUGAAAUGCGUAGAUAUCAGGAAGAACACCGGAGGCGAAGGCGGCUUACUGGACGAUUACUGACGCUGAGGCUCGAAAGCGUGGGGAGCGAACAGGAUUAGAUACCCUGGUAGUCCACGCUGUAAACGAUGAAUACUAGGUGUCGGUACCCGAAGGGUAUCGGUGCCGUCGCAAACGCAUUAAGUAUUCCACCUGGGGAGUACGUUCGCAAGAAUG